UUGAGCUACAUACGGCGACUCCGGCUACUCAAGACGACACAACUGGGGUACAGCGACAGUCGCAGAAGUUCACCACCUGCGGAGCGUUGACCAAUCAGAGACCAGAUCCGCGAGUGACGUGUCCCGGCGGAGGAGAAGCAAAUCGCUGCGGUUGUUUACAAGCAGACUUUCCGCCGUCCUGAGAGUGGCUCAAAUCGUGCAUUUUUUCAUUUCCACCGGAACAUAAAUAGGAGGAAUCUUGUCCGGAGGGAAAGUUCGCCACAACGGUGGCGUUCCUGAUGAGACGUCCUGAAGGGUCUGUUUAUAUGAGGGGAGGACGGUGACCGAGGAGCGGAGUGGUCAGCGGCAUCUACUGUAGUGCCGUGAAGUGAGCGUUCUUCACCGCCCUCUCUCUUCUGGAGCCCUUCAUCUCCAAGAGAGACCUCGGCCAACAUGACUGGAGAGGCAGCAGCUGCUGCAGCAGCAAGGUAGCAGGACACCGAUGGAAGAGACCAACAGAGGAAGGGGUCCCCCGAUGCUGAAGCUGAGCUCAAACAUCUACUAAUGUACUCCCUCCACAAACCCAGCUCAGAAGAAGGGACAGUUUUCAAGGUCCUCGUUCCUUCCAGGUUCCACAUAAAUUUAAAAUGUACAUGUUACUUUACCAAGCAAAACAACAGCUGACUGAAACCAUUUGGACCCUUCAUUUAUUUUCUUUGUAGCCACAGUUUCAUUAAAGAACCGGAUGCCGCCCCACUUCCUCCGCCUCUCUUGACCCUCGUCCCUCUGAGGAAGAUCCUUCAAAACACACCUACGUAGUUCACUUCAAGUUUGACUGUGAUUCUGUGUGUAUUGAAUGAGUAUAAAUGAAUGGGGUUACUUUAUUUUUGCAAAUAAAGUGUUUGACAAUGAACAUUUAUUUUUGUGAAAAAUGGAUUCACAGAAAAAAAUAAAAUCAAAAGCACUUUGCAAAAUAUCAACAAAUUGAGUUGAACACAGCUUUGUUUUAUUGCAGAGAUGAAAUAUAUAUGCAAGAACCUAUGCUUUGUUAAAAUAGGUGGCUGACUCUUGAAUGAGCAAUUGUGUUGCACUGAUAACUGUUUUUUUUCCAAA